rnacentral:misc_RNA from 1 species
AAGCCAUCAUUCUUCAUCUGAUCUAGAAAAUACAAAUUCAUUUAGUAAAAAAGAAGAACAAAAAAGAAAAAUACAAAUAAGAUUGUCUCUGAAAAUGUAAUUAUGUCGAAGGCAUCAAAUUUUUCGAAGACCAAAUUGAACUAAAAAAAAUAAAAGGGAUUCACUUUUUUAAUCCAAAUGAGCCAUCAAACAGGUAUAAAAGUAAUAUGCAAUUCAACAACUCAUUAAAAAAAAGGACCCAUAUGGAAAUUGCAUAAAGCAAACAAAAAAGAACUCCAUUGCACAAGGGAAGAGAGAAGGUGAAA